rnacentral:rRNA from 1 species
UACGAAGGGGGCUAGCGUUGCUCGGAAUCACUGGGCGUAAAGGGUGCGCAGGCGGAUAUGUAAGUCAGUGGUGAAAUCUUUGGGCUUAACCCGGAAAUUGUCAUUGAUACUAUAUAUCUUGAAUGUUGUGGAGGUAAGCGGAAUAUGUCAUGUAGCGGUGAAAUGCUUAGAUAUGACAUAGAACACCUAUUGCGAAGGCAGCUUACUACGCAGAUAUUGACGCUCAUGCACGAAAGCGUGGGGAUCAAACAGG